AAGGGAUUGCAACCAGACUUGCUCGCGGUGUUCCGCCGGUCUUCUGACCGGUCUACUCGCCGCGUUGCAGGCCAGCAUCGUCUGGGGCCGCCGGAUAAGACUUUGGGAAUGUAGCUCCCUCGGGAGUGUUAUAGCCCUUUGUGAUGCGGCGCGUCCCGGGCGAGGUCCGCGCUUCGGCUAGGAUGCUGGCGUAAUGGUCGUAAUCCG
rnacentral:rRNA from 1 species